AUUGUACGCUGGCGGCAGGCCUAACACAUGCAAGUCGAGCGGAUGAAGGGAGCUUGCUCCUGGAUUCAGCGGCGGACGGGUGAGUAAUGCCUAGGAAUCUGCCUGGUAGUGGGGGAUAACGUCCGGAAACGGGCGCUAAUACCGCAUACGUCCUGAGGGAGAAAGUGGGGGAUCUUUGGACCUCACGCUAUCAGAUGAGCCUAGGUCGGAUUAGCUAGUUGGUGGGGUAAAGGCCUACCAAGGCGACGAUCCGUAACUGGUCUGAGAGGAUGAUCAGUCACACUGGAACUGAGACACGGUCCAGACUCCUACGGGAGGCAGCAGUGGGGAAUAUUGGACAAUGGGCGAAAGCCUGAUCCAGCCAUGCCGCGUGUGUGAAGAAGGUCUUCGGAUUGUAAAGCACUUUAAGUUGGGAGGAAGGGCAGUAAGUUAAUACCUUGCUGUUUUGACGUUACCAACAGAAUAAGCACCGGCUAACUUCGUG
rnacentral:rRNA from 1 species